UCCAUCCGAGCUGGUUGUCAGUGGCUCUCACGUGUAACCCCAGCUUUCAGGAGGCAGAGAUCUGAGGAUCUGGUUCCAAGCCAUCCCAGGCAGCCACAGCCGUG